GAGAAAAAAAAAAUCCUUUUGUAUUAAUUGCUGCAGUCUCAUUCUCAUUGCUAAAAGAAAGGACCAUAAAUUUGAAUUAAUGAUGUAACAAUUCAAUUUCUUUGCAGUCGAAAAAACAAUCACCCUUUAAUUCCUUGAACUACAAUCAACGUGGAAAUUCGAACAAAUUACAUAUAAACCAAAUGCUCAAUUAUUUCAUGAGAACAAGCAAAAUAAGAGGAAGUAAAGGAGGAGGGAGCCGCAAGAGCAAACACAGAUAAACUUAUAAACCAAUUUAAAAAAUAAAAUAAAAAAGAGCACAGACCUUGAAACCAUAGCUGCAAUAGCU
rnacentral:misc_RNA from 1 species